GACGAACGCUGGCGGCGUGCUUAACACAUGCAAGUCGAACGGAGUUCCUCGGAUCAAGGCUUCGGCCAAGUGAAGUUGAACUUAGUGGCGGACUGGUGAGUAACGCGUGAGGAACCUGCCUUUCAGAGGGGGACAACAGUUGGAAACGACUGCUAAUACCGCAUGACGCAUAUGGAUCGCAUGGUCUGUAUGCCAAAGAUUUUAUCGCUGAAAGAUGGCCUCGCGUCUGAUUAGCUUGUUGGCGGGGUAACGGCCCACCAAGGCGACGAUCAGUAGCCGGACUGAGAGGUUGACCGGCCACAUUGGGACUGAGAUACGGCCCAG
rnacentral:rRNA from 1 species